rnacentral:tRNA from 1 species
UGGAUAGAGCACUCGCCUCCUAAGCGAGGGGUCGGAGGUUCAAAUCCUCUUGGCGACG